GAUGAAGAACGCAGCGAAAUGCGAUAAGUAAUGUGAAUUGCAGAAUUCAGUGAAUCAUAGAAUCUUUGAACGCACAUUGCGCCCGCCAGCAUUCUGGCGGGCAUGCCUGUUCGAGCGUCAUUUCAACCCUCGAGCCCCCCCGGGGGCCUCGGUGUUGGGGGACGGCACACCAGCCGCCCCCGAAAUGCAGUGGCGACCCCGCCGCAGCCUCCCCUGCGUAGUAGCACACACCUCGCACCGGAGCGCGGAGGCGGUCACGCCGUAAAACGCCCAACUUUCUUAGAGUUGACCUCGGAUCAGGUAGGAAUACCCGCUGAACUUAAGCAUAUCAAUAAGCGGAGGA
rnacentral:misc_RNA from 1 species